UACGAAGGGGGCUAGCGUUGCUCGGAAUUACUGGGCGUAAAGGGCGCGUAGGCGGGUCGUUAAGUUAGAGGUGAAAGCCCAGGGCUCAACCCUGGAAUUGCCUUUAAUACUGGCGGCCUUGAGUAUGGCAGAGGUGUGUGGAACUCCGAGUGUAGAGGUGAAAUUCGUAGAUAUUCGGAAGAACACCAGUGGCGAAGGCGACACACUGGGCCAUUACUGACGCUGAGG
rnacentral:rRNA from 1 species